GCAUGGUGGAUGGUGUAAAGCUCCGGCGGUGCAGGAUGAGCCCGCGGCCUAUCAGCUUGUUGGUGAGGUAGUGGCUCACCAAGGCGACGACGGGUAGCCGGCCUGAGAGGGCGACCGGCCACACUGGGACUGAGACACGGCCCAGACUCCUACGGGAGGCAGCAGUGGGGAAUAUUGCACAAUGGGCGAAAGCCUGAUGCAGCGACGCCGCGUGAGGGAUGACGGCCUUCGGGUUGUAAACCUCUUUCAGCAGGGAAGAAGCGAAAGUGACGGUACCUGCAGAAGAAGCGCCGGCUAACUACGUGCCAGCAGCCGCGGUAAUACGUAGGGCGCAAGCGUUGUCCGGAAUUAUUGGGCGUAAAGAGCUCGUAGGCGGCUUGUCACGUCGGUUGUGAAAGCCCGGGGCUUAACCCCGGGUCUGCAGUCGAUACGGGCAGGCUAGAGUUCGGUAGGGGAGAUCGGAAUUCCUGGUGUAGCGGUGAAAUGCGCAGAUAUCAGGAGGAACACCGGUGGCGAAGGCGGAUCUCUGGGCCGAUACUGACGCUGAGGAGCGAAAGCGUGGGGAGCGAACAGGAUUAGAUACCCUGGUAGUCCACGCCGUAAACGGUGGGCACUAGGUGUGGGCAACAUUCCACGUUGUCCGUGCCGCAGCU
rnacentral:rRNA from 1 species